rfam:Populus trichocarpa isolate Nisqually-1 chromosome 8, whole genome shotgun sequence.
UCUAGAACUCAAGAUAUGGGCGGAACACUGAACAGUGUCUAGGCUGCAGGACAGAUUCCAACUUCUCUGUUGUUGCUACCAUUUACACUCGAAAAUGAUACUUUUAAAUCUUGGACUCCUCAUUAAAGUUUUAGGCCUAUGUCUUAGCUUCCCAAU